UAUUCAUCGUUAUACGUAUGUUAUAACUGGAGUUAAUGAAUUAGGAGAAGGAAUAUCUAAUAACGUCAUGUUCUCUUACCAAAAAGGUAAUACUAGAGUGUACUGGUGAAGCCCCCAAUAGUGCUGAAGUUGCUGUACACUGCAGUGAUGCUGGUAGUGUAUUUAGUAGCUCUUACUUAAUAGAGUAUACUAAACAACCAAAUAAUAUAACAGGAUUAAUAUCAGUCCCCCAGUAUCAACAGUGUAAUAUCAGUAUUGUAUUUAGUAAUGAGGCUGGUAGUAGUGAACCAUUUAUACUAGCAUUUGAUACAUAUCCCAAUAUCACCACUACUACUAUC